ACGAAACCAUUAGCUGUGAGAAAGGCUCUGAAUUUGGUUGAAAUAAGGUUGUAUAAGUUGUAUUGAGGAAAAUAUGAGUUCAUUAUCAUUUCAAAGGGUUUUUGGACCGAUGAAUGGAAUGAAGGAAAGAGUUUGAGUCGCUUGUGAGAAUUAGGCUGCUGGGAAAUAGGCGAGCAUACUUUGUAUAUCAAGGACAUACACAAAUGUAAAUCUGCUAGGAGAAGAUAUGGCAGCUGAGCACAGCUACUUGCUAAAGCAUUCAGUAAAUACAGCAUCAGCUACUCUGCGAGAAUGCUCAUUAGGGUAUGAGUCUCUACAGAGACUUAAAGUAGUAGCUGGACCUACUACUAUUCCAUAGAUUUCAAAAGACAGCACAGGCAUACAGCAGCAUUUUUCUCCUCCCUCACACAACAGCUUUGGAAUUUUGAGCUUUUUUUUUUUUUUUUUUUCCAGGUUUCAGUGCAUUAUCUGAUCUCUAGUGCAAACAUUUCCCCCCACUGUUUCAUUCACACAGAAUCAGGAAAGCAUCACAACGUUCACUGUACCUUAAAGAAUUUUUUUUUCAUCUGUAUCAUUCUGCAAAACUACUUCUCAGUGUAUUCAAGUUCUUGAAAAUGGAAAAAGAUGUGAGCAAACGGGAAAACUGGAUUCUCUGGACUCAUUAGAAGGCACAGCAUGCACACCAUUUGCUGGUGCAGCAGGUCACAUCUACUCAGGAACAGCAGGGGACAUGCCUUGGCAUUCACUGAUUCAUUCUGCUAGGUGAAAGCUUUGUUUUCCAAAAAUUAAAGAGAAAAACACACAAAAGGAUGACACACCAGACACUUGGCGGCUGUGACCAGCAAGUUCAUUGCACCUGUGACCUAAUUGGAAGGCUAUGUUGAAUGAAAGCAGUUUUCCCCCUCCCCAGCUCUAAAGAUUUGCCUGCGUGUGUUUUUAUUUCACACAGUCACAUUCUUAUCUGUCAAAAAUAUUCAGUAGGAUAGAUGAGAAUUCUUAACUGCUCAGAUUUAUUUCGUUUAAUGUAUUCAUCAAUGUUACCUCAUGUCUAUAAGCAUUUAGAUUAUUAGAUUUUUUCUGACUCAAGAAAAUGCAGUAAAAAUCUCACAGUUCCUUUCUUUAGCUUACUUUUACAGUAAAAAGCAUCAGGUUAUGUUUGUUAAAAAACAAAAAAACAACAAAAAAAACCAAACUCCAACCAAGUAGAAUUAUUUUCAACAGCAGAUUCUUUCAAAUUUAGGCUUUCAUUUUAAUUCAGAUAGUACCAGUCUGUACUUAGAAACUAAAAGCCACAGAUAUUUUGCUAGUAACUAAAGAAUGUGAAGUUAAAUAUAAUAAAUAAAUUUUUUUGCUCUCCUUCAAAUCUCUUCACAAAAAAUUAUGUUAAAAUGAAGAAAUAGGUUCUGUUCUAGUAAUUAGUGACUGAUCAAUGCCAUAUACACACACACACACACCCCUAAAUCAAUACAACUCAGCUUUAUCAACACUGACUCACUGCCUAUUUUAAGCGAUCACUGUUUCAAGUGAGAGGGGUAGGGGGUGGGAUUCAUCUGUUGCUGUUGUAGGAGCUUGAAAGGGGUAUCAGGAAGAUGAGGGUGUCAGUCUGAAUACAAACACACAGUGUAAGUACAUAAACAAUACAUGCAUUUAUGUACAACAGUUCUUCUGUUAGUAUGCAUGAUUAAUGUAAAGCUACUUUGGGUGCGCAAUUCAGCCAAAAAGGAGUAAGUUAACUUGGAACAUUUUGCUCAGUUGAUCUUUCCUAGCUGCAGGGGAAUUGGCAGGUCACAGCCUGAGCCGGUGGUGGAGCACCAGGUGAGAAGCUGUGGUUAUCUCAGGGGGCUCAGCUGCAUGCAGUGCAACAGAACCACCGAAAGGGGUGGAAUCUGAGUCCGCCCCAUCUCAACCUCAUUUGAGGGUUGGCAGCCAAGGGAAGCAGUAUCUCUCUAGAUAGAGACUGCAUUCCUCUUGAGCCAUUACCAGUCAUUGGAAAGGGUGAGCCCGUAUUCCUUUCUUUUUUCAAUCUGCUCUUGUUCUGUAGGGUUUGUAUCCUACUGGAAGGCACUGUGAUAACCUUCUUUGGCCAGAACAGGUUAGAAGGCCAAACAAAUAUCCAACCAGCAGAUGAGGGGAUGUAGAAGCUUCUUUAGCUUGCAGAGCCAGAAAAAAGAAAUCUACAUAUAUCUAGUAAAGGAAAUCAGCAUUUUUCAUCAUGAGGAGCUUAACUUGUACUUAGGAAAAAAAUAGAAAUACAAAUUAAGAAUGUAUUUAAGAAAAUAAAGUUUCCUGUAUGCCUUUUCAGAUGAACUGCUAACAUCAUAAUGGGGCUCAACCCAAUGCAAAAGGAGCUGGCAUUUAAUUGAAAAACUACCUGGGCACCAGCAGCAAGGAAAGCUUCCCCAUCCUUCUCUGCUAGGAUGCUGCACCCCACACAGAAGCAAGGAUUUGACAGAAAGAGAUUCAGCCUUCCAAGUCCAGGCUAUCUGCUGACAUUGCUGAAAGGCACAUUGCUGUAAUACAGUUAUAACAAGUCUCCUAGGCAGCAAAUGGGAUUUGAAACAAAAGCAGGUGAAAAAUGAGAUUGUUUUUAUCUCUUGACAAAUCCUAAAUUAAAAUGGGAAAUUCCUCUUACGGGUUUUUAAAUCUGCAUGGGCUAAUUUAAAAAGAAUCUGGAAGUGCCACUUCAGUGUAUCUCACUUUGUGCUAUGCAUUAUAUAAAAUUGCUCUUAUGAAAGCAUCACUCCUGCUUACAUAACCGAGUUGUUUGCUCAGAUUACAGCCUCCUUAGUACAGAGAGGCUUUUCAGGAUGUGAUGAGUAUUAUGAACAGUGUUUAUAGAUAACGUUUUACUUCCUGGGAACAAAGGGCUACAAGCUGUUACCACUAUAAGCUCAUUGACUAGUAUCAACUUAAUUUUGUAAUGCUUUCUCAGAGACACAGGCAGUGUGUUACACAACAAAUUAAGGACUCAUUCAGUGUGAACAGGGCAUUCUGAAACCUCUUUUAAGACAGUUUUAACCCCCCUUAUUCAUCUCAGGAGGGGAGCGUAAGCAAGGGCUUAUUUUUGUUUUAUAGGAAUAGGAUAGUAGGCUAGCAAAGUUGCAGCUGCAAGGGUCUAAAGCUUCAGCAGCCUAGUUUAAUCAAAUCUUUUUGCUUUGAAGUUCAUCACAUAGAGUUUGAGUUUCUUUAAAUAAAUGUCAACUUCUAAUAGGAGAUUUCUUCCAGUAAGUAUUUGAUGGUUCCCUAGUGAAAACAAAGUUUCACUAAAAAGGAAGUUUACAUCUCAGGAAGUUCCAUCCUGCCAUCCUGCUUUUCAGAUGUUCAGACAGGUCUGGCUUAAGGCAAAGUAAAAGGCUUCUGCUCAAACAGCAACAACUGCUUCCCCACAUCUCUAGUCUGAAGGUGUCUCCUUUGCUUACUAUUAGUCAAGAAAUAUUUUUUUUCAGCCACAAAUCAAGAAGCUACCUAAAUUCCCCUUUGUAACUUUAAUCUUGCGAAACCCAGUGCACUUGACCUGAAAGAGGUCUCCAAAAACGUCAGCAUCAGGUGUUGGGAAACAUUUGCACUGUGGCUUGCAUCAGAGACGAGACAAGGGGGCAGUUGUGAUGGUCUGUCACUCCGCUGACCAGCCCAGCACAAGUUCCAUUUUCCUUCCAAUAUACUUAAACCAGAAAUAGUUCCUGACAGCAAGUAAGCACUUAGGGCUGUAGGAAGUUAAUACCAAAACAGCUUUCAACGAUGAAAUACUUGAGAAUGUUAGAGAAGUGGUUAUUAUAUUAGUUAACCAUCCAGGCAGUAACAAGGAAGGAAGAGCAGAAGUAGAUAGAGCUCACUGAUUCUCUUGUUUCUCCUUAUCUGCUGCAAUGAACUAGUAUCAGACCAGCUCACUUAUUCAUGUUAAAAUGACCAGGUAUUGUGGUGUUUGUUUUUUUGUUUUGUUUUUUUUUUUUUGGUGCCUUAAACCCAGCUUUUCACCAGCUGGGGUUACAACUUCUAUCCAAAAGUAAUCUUUCAUACCAUGUCCACUGAAGUCCUUACCUGCCAUAGGUACCUUAUUCUUGCAAGUCUACAACAACAGUUAGAAGUUUCAAAAGAAAUAACAUGAGAUUACACACAGCCAAAAUAAAGCAGACCAAAAACUAAUUCACUGUCCAGAUUUUUCAGUCAUCUCCCUGUGCCUCUCCCUAAUAACUUCUCUCCUUCAACACCAUUCGUAAUGAAAAAUUGAGUAGUAUCUCACUUGAAUUUAUUCCAAUCCGGAUAAUUUUGUUGCUGAAGCAAAUCAGCUAAGCCAUGUAUUAAAAUGAUUUUUGUAAUAAGAUGUCAAGAUUGAAACACGUUGUUUAUAAAACUAAAUGAAAUACAAGACAAAGAA